CAGUUUAAUUCUUGCCAGCGCUUAACUGCGCGGCGAGAACUAAUCCUUACACACUGUGUUUUUUUGUUAUAAGAACCAUUGCUUUGGCUUGGCGCAAGCUGGGCCAGAGUUUAACACUAAACUUCAAUUUUUAUUGAAUUGUUAUUUAAAUUAUGUCAAUUUGUUUGAUUAAAUUCAAAAUAAUCUUCA
rnacentral:misc_RNA from 1 species